AUGGUAGAGUGGCCCCUGGAGCCCGUAAGAAAAAGCUUAGCAAUGAUCAUAGAACAUUUUUCUAUGAUCGAUUGCAUUGACUACAUAGCAAUCAUGAAAAUCAAGCACAUGGUCAAUCCCUAACCUUUCUGUUAUGGGACCCAGGUUAACAUUUACGGUGGGUAAAACAUAGUCUGCGGGCACAGACCGUGAUUGAAACCUUGAUCAACUAGUGGGUCUUCACACAAGACUAGCACAUAUAAAUCUUGAGCAAGAGGGUUUUCUGUACACAUGUCUGUGUAGGCUGCGCAUUCAGACCCUUUAACUCAAGUGGAGGGUUUGCACAACAUACCACCAACAUAUAAAUAAAAUACCUGUAUAAUUAGGAAGAAAAUUAUCUGCCAACCCACAUUGCUGUGAAAAUUAAAACACACAAGUUAAAAUAUAAAAAGACAGCUAGAGCAACAAGUUAAAAUAUAAACAAUUGAGGUAAACACGGUUGCAAUACAUGACCUUCUGGUUUGAAUUUUGUAUUUUCUAUUGCAUUCCUCCUGGUGAAAUGGAUUCAAAAUCCUUUAUAAAAUUGCAAAGUUUACAUGAUAUAAGUGAAAAGGAUACACAUUGAGUCCCAUUCUUGAUCUAUAGAUCAAAGUCAUCAAAGUUGAUAGUUAUGAUAUAUAUAUAAUUGGAUGGAGUUGCAGUAAACACUGAUUUCAUGAGAAAUUCUGUACAGCCAAGGUUAACUGUCACUAUGUAUUCAUCUAGAUCUGGUAAUUUAAAGAAAACUGAACUUUGAGCAAUCAGAAAUCUAGGCUGAAAAACAAUCACACUGAGGAUUGCCAACAUAGAUAAGCACAAGUGGGAAAGUGCAUUAUUACUGCUUGGAAAAAUACCUGACAAAUGGCUCAAAUGCAAGGCUUAUUUUGUACAUUUCUCAGCAAUUACCAAAUUUCUUGCAGAAUCCUUUGGCGUAUGUUUUUUAUUCAUUCAAACAGACACUUGGAUGGUCAUUUCAUUGUAUUCUGUACAAACUCAUUUAGAAAUCAACACCACAACUGGAAAUUAUCUUUACCUAUUUUUUCAGAUAUUCAUGAAAAUUUUUUGCCUUUAUCAAACACAAGUCAAGAAGAAUUUAUUCACUCUCUAUUUUCAGUUUGAUUUAAGAGUUUCUUGUUCAGGACAGAAGACGUGAGGUAGUCAAAAUCAGCCUUAUUAUUUCAGGGAAGCCCCAUAUCGGACAUGCAUACUGUAUAGAACUGCCACUGCCGCAAAAAUGUUUAAAUGCAUUACCUGAUAAAUUUAAACAGUGAACUCCUAUAUAAAGUGUGUUCAAGAAGAUUAGUGAUUAGUUUUGUGUAGUUACAUUGUAUUUUUUACCCAGAGUUGUAUUUGUUUUUGUAUAGGGCAUGUAACUUUUGAAAAAGCACUUUAUAGGAAAUAAUUAUCCAUCAAGAAGAAAAAUAUAUAUUGUCAGGUUUGAUUUGAUGACUUGCUUCGACUAGGGCAAAUACUUGACUUGACAUGUAAUUCAUCUGCAUAUAAAAUUUACAACACUUUCCACAAUUUAUAGCUUCACACACAAAGCUUACGAGUUAUUGUUACAAAGAAUAAACAUACGUGCCCUCUUCAUAAAAGAGCAUGUGUAGAGAAAUAUGAAUAUACAUAGAAAGCUUUACAAGCAUUGCUUAACAUGAAUUAUAAACAAUAAGUAUUUCAUAAAAUAUCAAUUGGGACAUUUCAACACCUCACUACAGCAAGCAGUAAGCCUACAAAGUUUCAAAAGCGCAUGAAAUGUCAUCCAAUUUCAUAAUCCUAAAACAGGAGCCAUUUAACAGAUACAAGCAUGAUUAUGAAAACACAUACAUCAGAAUACUGAAUGAAAAUUGGUUUAUCCAACCAAUGGUGUGAAAAGGGAAAACAAUGAACACAUACUGGAUAUCUAGCACAGGUGUUAAUAAUAAUGGGUGUUAAAGAUAACAUUCAACCUGAAUUGAAUCUAACAAACCCAUUGAGUCAAUAAAUACAUAUAUAAUGGAGAAAAUAGUGCAAAAUAUAUAUAAAGCAUUUCCUGGCAUUUAUUUGCUUGAUUGCAGCCAGUCCACUGUGACUUCAUUGUGACAGCAUGCAAUAAUAUUGUGAAUUUACACUAAUAGGAGUGACAUCACAAAACAGCAUUGUGAUAUCACUAUGAAAUUGUGACACCAUUAUGAAAUGGUGAUCCAUGUCACUGAGACAUCAUACAACAGCAUUGUAAAAUUGUAUUGAUAGCAUUGCAACAUCAUACAUAGCUCAUGACAUCAUAAUUCAUGUCAUUAAAAAGGAUUGUUUGUGACAUCAUAAUCUAAGUACAUAUAUUCAGCACAGUGUCAGAAUGAGUCA